rnacentral:rRNA from 1 species
UACGUAGGUGGCAAGCGUUGUCCGGAAUUAUUGGGCGUAAAGCGCGCGCAGGCGGUCCUUUAAGUCUGAUGUGAAAGCCCACGGCUCAACCGUGGAGGGUCAUUGGAAACUGGGGGACUUGAGUGCAGGAGAGAAGAGUGGAAUUCCACGUGUAGCGGUGAAAUGCGUAGAGUUGUGGAAGAACACCAGUGGCGAAGGCGACUCUCUGGGCUGUAACUGACGCUGAGGCGCGAAAGCGUGGGGAGCAAACAGG